AAAAAUGUAUUAACAAAUUAAUCACACGAAUUCAGUUAACUAUUUACAAACCUUAGAAUCAGAUGAAGAACUUAGCCAAUCUUGAAUCUUCAAUCCUUGUAGAAAUUUAAUCCAAGCACUAAAAACUAAAAAACAAAGAAAACUAAAAGCUAUGAAAUUGAAAACUAAAGUCUGGGACCCUAGAUAGGUCAACAAAAGACCUAUAUAUAGUCUCAGGGAAAAACCCAGUACAGAAAUAAAAA
rnacentral:lncRNA from 1 species